rnacentral:rRNA from 1 species
UAGCUUGGGAAUCUGGCUUAUGGAGGGGGAUAACUACGGGAAACUGUAGCUGAUACCGCGUAGUAUCGAGAGAUGAAAGUGCGGGACCGCAAGGCCGCAUGCCAUGAGAUGAGCCCAAGUGGGAUUAGGUAGUUGGUGGGGUAAAGGCCUACCAAGCCUGCGAUCUCUAGCUGGUCUGAGAGGAUGGCCAGCCACACUGGAACUGAGACACGGUCCAG